AGUGAAUCCUACGUAUUUUUUUAUGUUUCAUAGAAUUCAAUUCGCCACAAUCUCUCUCUGAACCGUUAUUUCAUCAAAGUGCCACGUUCCCAGGAAGAACCAGGCAAAGGCUCCUUCUGGAGGAUAGACCCUGCCUCCGAGAGCAAGCUGGUAGAGCAGGCUUUUAGGAAAAGACGGCCUAGGGGCGUGCCUUGCUUUAGAACCCCCCUGGGACCUCUCUCCUCUAGGUAAGGACACAGGAACCAGAGCCUGCACUCACUGUCAGUAAUACCACUUCAGCAUGUUGGCAGAGAUUCCUUCCAAACAGAAGAUCUGCGGAUGCCCGUACUGGUGUUGGGGUGGGGAACUGGGAAAAGGUUGGUUAUGUUUCUAUUUCCUAUCGCCUUGUUCACCUGUACUGCUUGCUGUUCCCUUGAACUUAAUGUAUAUCUUAAAAGUAAUUAGACUCCAGGAGGCAAGGUCAUGGAGCCACAUGGUAGUUUUCAUUUCUUUUGGUAUGUGAACAGUUCUUUAAAGUGACUUCCAGUUUUGUAAACUCAAGAUUUCUCAUUUGCCUGAUUUUAAAACCAUAUGUUUCACAUUCAUUAAGAAUGUUUUUAACCUGAAAGAAAUGAGGUUAUUAGAAGCCUUAAAGCCCCACAGUCUGCUCACUGCGGAGUCCUGCUGACUGGUUCCUUAGAAACACUGCUCUAGAGGGUAGCAGCCUUCUCAUGGAACUGAGCAACCUGUGUGGCAUGCGUGGCCUAGCGCUGGUACUGUCCAUUGAGCCUCACUGGGUCUCCACAGAGAAAGUCAGCCACACAGACCUGGGCUCAGUUGGCAGGAGACAGAGGCUUCCCUUUAUAAAGAUUAAAUGAAUGGACACAUCCUUUUUAGAGCAUCACUGUAAAAUACCCCUGUCUUCUUUUGGUGACCCAGGAGUGCCCCAGCUUCUCCCAACCAUGCCGGAGUGCUGUCUGCUCACUCCAGUGGCGCCCAGACCCCCGAGAGCCUGUCGAGGGAGGGCUCCCCAGCCCCCUUGGAGCCUGAGCCUGGCGCCUCACAGCCCAAGCUUGCCGUCAUCCAGGAGGCCAGGUUUGCCCAGAGUGCACCAGGUGAGAGAGACCCCAGGAGAAGGAAGAGGGGCAAAGGGGCUGGGAGUGGGGCCAGACAGAGAUGCCUGCAUUUGGCACUUUGUGUAAGUACCUGAGUGUUGUGUGGAUGGAAAGUUUUGGAAAAACCGGUGGCACUGGGAUUUUUUUCUUUCCUUUUUUAAAUCGGCAUGCAGGUGUGGUAGUGAGUGACUAUAGUAUUACCCAAGAGGCUAAGGCAAGGAUUGUUGUGAGUUUAAGGCCAGCCUGGCGUAUAUAGUGGAACCCUGUUCCUAAAAACAAAACUAAAAAGAAUCGGUAUUUCUUAAUGGCUUUCUUAAAAAAAAAAAAAAAAAAAAAAAAAAAAAAAAGCCCUUUCCUCACCAAAAGAAGUUAGAGAAACUAGGCACUGAUUGGAACAAAGAUGUAUCCCAUUUAGUGAGUAGAUGAAUAUUUCCAGUUUAGUUGCAGAUCCACAAUAUAGAAUAAAAUGUGUAUCUUAGUAAAGCUAGAAGAUGGGCAUUCUGGCGGCUAGGCUCAAUGGCCCAAAGAGACCCUGCCCUGCCACCUGUCUCCAGCUGCUGAUGUCCACUUGCUGAGAACCAGGAGGGCAGUGGCUCUGACUGCCUGUGGCUGUUUCUGAGUUUUGUGCCUCUGUCCUACCAGAAUGAAAGUGUUGGUUUGGAUUGGGGAUUUAGCUCAGUGGUAGAGUGCUAGCCUAGCAAGCGCAAGGCCCUGGGUUCGGUCCUCAGCUCUG
rnacentral:lncRNA from 1 species